rnacentral:rRNA from 1 species
AAGGGAACCCUGAGUGCUUUGCUUUUGCAAAGCUUUUGUUAAGUUUAAAUCACUUAGCGAAUAAGCGGUGGGCAAGACUGGUGCCAGCCGCCGCGGUAACACCAGCUCCACGAGUGGCAAUCGCAUUUAUUUGGUCUAAAGCGUCCGUAGCCGGUUCAGUAAGUCUCUUGUGAAAUCAUUGGGCUCAACUCAAUGGUGUGCUUGAGAUACUGGUGGACUAGGAACUGGGAGGAGUCAGAAGUAUUUCUUGGGGAGCGGUAAAAUGCUAUAAUCCAAGAAGGACUACCUGUGGCGAAAGCGUCUGACUAGAACAGAUUCGACGGUGAGGGACGAAAGCUAGGGGAGCAAUCCGGAUUAGAUACAAUAAAUUUCCGAAGAUAAUUUUUAGAAUUAGAUUUGUAAAUUUGUUCUACAAUACUACGUUUAUAUAUUGAAACUAAAGAUAAUGGAGAUUUAUUGCUAACUACCCGAGUAGUCCUAGCCAUAAACGCUGCGAGCUAGGUGUUACAUAUUCUUCGUGAAUGUGUAGUAUCGCAGAGAAGUCGUUAAGCUCGCCACCUGGGAGUAUGGUC